GUGCCUCAAACUAAUGAGUAAGGAAAAUUACCGAGCGUUGUUGACGCUUCGCUCAGCUGAUGUCUAAUCAGUGAAAAUAUUUGAACGGGUUCAGGUUGUCCCAGGCUUGCUUGCCUACUUUGCAAGCGAGCUAGGAGUUAGCAAUCUACCCG